rnacentral:rRNA from 1 species
GACGAACGCUGGCGGCGUGCCUAACACAUGCAAGUCGAACGGAAAGGCCCUGCUUUUGUGGGGUGCUCGAGUGGCGAACGGGUGAGUAACACGUGAGUAACCUGCCCUUGACUUUGGGAUAACUUCAGGAAACUGGGGCUAAUACCGGAUAGGAGCUCCUGCUGCAUGGUGGGGGUUGGAAAGUUUCGGCGGUUGGGGAUGGACUCGCGGCUUAUCAGCUUGUUGGUGGGGUAGUGGCUUACCAAGGCUUUGACGGGUAGCCGGCCUGAGAGGGUGACCGGCCACAUUGGGACUGAGAUACGGCCCAGACUCCUACGGGAGGCAGCAGUGGGGAAUACUGCACAAUGGGCGGAAGCCUGAUGCAGCAACGCCGCGUGCGGGAUGACGGCCUUCGGGUUGUAAACCGCUUUCGCCUGUGACGAAGCGUGAGUGACGGUAAUGGGUAAAGAAGCACCGGCUAACUACGUG